GGAGAAGAAUAUUUAAAUUAACUCGAAAAAAAAUAAAUAAAUAAAUAAGAGCCAUAUAAACGCGACCACAAAUAAUUUUUUAACAAAUUGACUAGUGCAGAAUUUAUUUUGAAUAACUAAAGAAAGACGAUGAUUGUACCAAAAAAUAUUAACGAUGCUUUAUUACCAAUAACAAUUAUCAGUUGGAUUAUGGGAACUGGUAUUAUUGAAUAUCCCCUUGGCAAUCCUCAAACAAUAUUUAGUAUUAUAUAUUCAAUAAUUUGUAUAAUUAUACUAACUGCAUCAAUUGUUUUCAAUUAUUUUUCAAUUUCCACAAUUUAUUCUGAGGAGAUUCAAAUGAUAAAUAAAUUGAUACUCACCGUAUUUAUCAUUGGAUGCUAUUUUUUGUGUCUAAUUGUUAUUAUUUUAAGUAAAAUUAAUGCUCAAAAAUUAAAAUUUUGUUUGCAAGAACUUAAUUCUGUAGAUGAAAAAAUGAAGAGAAUAGGAAUAAUGGAAAAUUAUAGUAAAUCUUUUAGGAUGAGCAUUAUUACUGCAGCAAUUUUUAUUGUAUAUUUAAUAAUUUUUUUCGUAAUACUUUUUGCAAAACAUGUCAACAAAUUUAAUGCUAAAUCAAUCUGCACUAUAUUAGUUACAUUUUAUUUUGUAUUAGGAGCACCCUACAUCAUUGAAUGCAAAUUUAUACACAUAAUAAGGAUGAUACACUUAGAUUUAGUCAGAAUUUCAAGAUCUGUC